GACGGGAUCCACUAUUGAACCGAUGCCACCACCACGGUUUUUGUUGCCACCACAGUCAAAGUUAUCGUAAUUGUGGUCAGACCGCCAUUGGGUCACUAUUGAUCACCUCCAAUCAUCCACCGUCGACCACCGUUGGACCUCCACUAGCCACCAUUGGACAACCACUAGCCACCUCCACCGUCGGCCAUCAUCAUCGGUCUUUUAUUGGUUGGCCAAGUCGAGUUUGCAUCUUCUU
rnacentral:lncRNA from 1 species